rnacentral:rRNA from 1 species
UACGGAGGAUCCAAGCGUUAUCCGGAUUUAUUGGGUUUAAAGGGUGCGUAGGCGGACUUGUAAGUCAGUGGUGAAAGCCUGCGGCUUAACUGCAGAAUUGCCAUUGAUACUGCUGGUCUUGAGUAUAGUUGAGGUGGGCGGAAUGUGUCAUGUAGCGGUGAAAUGCUUAGAUAUGACACAGAACACCGAUUGCGAAGGCAGCUCGCUAAACUAUAACUGACGCUGAGGCACGAAAGCGUGGGUAGCAAACAGG